GUUAUUGAUCUGCAGUGGAACUAAACAGGGCAGCCCUCUAACUUUAUUGGUUUUUAUAUAUGACCGCGUGGUGCAGCAUCUGUAUUGGAAUUGUGUUGUUGUUUCGGUCAGCGUUUGUUCAAAUGUUGGUUACAAAACAUGCAAUUUCUUUGGAUAGGUGUACAACGACUUUCAUAAAACACGCUUUUUCUAACAGCAAUGGUUUCCUUUACUGCAAAUAUUUAAACAAUUAACGGUGGGGCCACGAUAUGUUGCAAGCAUGUGACGGCAUAAGAAGAAGAAUGUCGAUCCCCGGCAAUAUCGAUGAAAUAUUCGAGGUCAAGGAGUUGCUUCGAAAAUUUCGGACAAUGUGGAUGUGUUCUGAUGUAAAGACUGUGGUCCAAUCUACAGUCAUAUAUUGGGUUGGCAUCAUUAGGUGAUAAUGAUAAAAUCCGUAAUCGCUUAGUUGCCAACUCAAUAAAUAUGUCUCGAUAGUUAUAUAUUAUAACGAAAGCAUAGAAAAUAUCCUCCAAAAAUUGAGUCGCGAAAAGUUAACAUGGAAGACAUCGAGAUCCUUGUUCUUGCUGGACAUGCUAUAAAUGUCUCAGACAGAGACUGACACACUUUACUCAUUUCAGUCUGUCAUGCAAGAACAAGAACUUUGAUGUCAUACAUGUUGAUUUUUCACGACUCAACUUUCGGACGAUUCUACGUAGCAGGUAUCGAGACUUUAUAAGACCGUCGAUUGGACCACGAUCGUACACACAUGGUCUGGGAACUCUUAUGAAAGGGGAUUUCUUGUGUAACGCUAUCGUGGAAAAAUAACCCAGACCCGAUUGUAUCUGCCCCUUUCUCUCUCUCUCUCUCUCUGUCCCCCCCCCCCCUCCCUUCACAAUGCGGCCGUGGACACGACUCACGGUGGACCGAGUAGUACGGGAGGUGAAAGAAGGAAACAAGAUCACGAUAAUGAUUAUAGAGAUCAACUUUUUUUUUAUACGAUUAUUAUGAUUACCUUACUAUUACUUUGUAUUUGACUAAUGUCAAAUAAAUGUUAUGUAACAUAAA